rnacentral:rRNA from 1 species
GCGGAAGGAUCAUUACAAAUGUCUGGGAUGUCCAAUCGGGCCCCCAAGCAAACACAUCCAUGUGUACACUCCCAUGUUGCUUCCCCAGAUCAGUGGCCACUGCUGCCAGCCCACCCCCUCAAUUGGGGUCCUGGGUUGAGGUGUCUGGGGAAGGGCCCAAUAACAAACCUUUGAACCAAUUAGUUGUCUGAGUAGGCCACCCGCCGCAAUCUUUAAAACAUGUUAAAACUUUCAACAACGGAUCUCUUGGCUCUCGCAUCGAUGAAGAACGCAGCGAAAUGCGAUAAGUAAUGUGAAUUGCAGAAUUCAGUGAAUCAUCGAAUCUUUGAACGCACAUUGCGCCCUUUGGUAUUCCUUAGGGCAUGCCUGUUCGAGCGUCACUAAAAACCCCCUCACAGAUAAUGUGGUAUUGGUAGAAGUGAACGGUACUUACAUUACCUUGUCUCACUCUGCUGAAAUGAAUAGGCCAGAGAAGUGGACCCAUGGUAAUUGACUCCAGGAGUGUUUUUCAAUGCUAAACUAGUCUUUACCCAAGUCAAAUUCUGAGCUACCGGACCUCCCAUUAAGUCCAAAACAGAGUGGUUGACCUCGGAUCAGGUAGGGAUACCCGCUGAACUUAA